CUGCGGCAGCGACACUGUGUGUUGUUGGGUAGGGGAGCGUUCUGUAAGCCAGUGAAGGUGUGUCGUGAGGCAUGCUGGAGGUAUCAGAAGUGCGAAUGCUGACAUAAGUAACGAUAAAGCGGGUGAAAAGCCCGCUCGCCGGAAGACCAAGGGUUCCUGUCCAACGUUAAUCGGGGCAGGGUGAGUCGACCCCUAAGGCGAGGCCGAAAGGCGUAGUCGAUGGGAAACGGGUUAAUAUUCCCGUACUUGGUGUUACUGCGAAGGGGGGACGGAGAAGGCUAUGUUGGCCGGGCGACGGUUGUCCCGGUUUAAGCGUGUAGGUGUGUGUUCCAGGUAAAUCCGGUUCACUUUAACACUGAGGCGUGACGACGAGGCACUACGGUGCUGAAGCAACAAAUGCCCUGCUUCCAGGAAAAGCCUCUAAGCAUCAGGUAACAUCAAAUCGUACCCCAAACCGACACAGGUGGUCAGGUAGAGAAUACCAAGGCGCUUGAGAGAACUCGGGUGAAGGAACUAGGCAAAAUGGUGCCGUAACUUCGGGAGAAGGCACGCUGACACGUAGGUGAAGUGAUUUACUCAUGGAGCUGAAGUCAGUCGAAGAUACCAGCUGGCUGCAACUGUUUAUUAAAAACACAGCACUGUGCAAACACGAAAGUGGACGUAUACGGUGUGACGCCUGCCCGGUGCCGGAAGGUUAAUUGAUGGGGUCAGCGCAAGCGAAGCUCCUGAUCGAAGCCCCGGUAAACGGCGGCCGUAACUAUAACGGUCCUAAGGUAGCGAAAUUCCUUGUCGGGUAAGUUCCGACCUGCACGAAUGGCGUAAUGAUGGCCAGGCUGUCUCCACCCGAGACUCAGUGAAAUUGAACUCGCUGUGAAGAUGCAGUGUACCCGCGGCAAGACGGAAAGACCCCGUGAACCUUUACUAUAGCUUGACACUGAACAUUGAGCCUUGAUGUGUAG
rnacentral:rRNA from 1 species